rnacentral:lncRNA from 1 species
GAGUCGCUAGGGUGGAGAUGAAGGAGGUGAAGGCGGAGGUGACGAUGGAGUCGCAAAGGAUAAAAAAAAACAACGUGGCAGAGAGUGAAGAGGGGAGGUGGCAUAAGACGUGGCCUUGUCGUUUGCAAUAUCUGACAAAAAUUAACGUCGUCUAAUUUUAAGAACUAAUAGUAAGAGUUUCAAAACUACGAGGACAAAAAACCAUCAAAGUUUCAAGUAGGGAAUAAAACCAAAAUCGUGUGAUACUUAAAGGAUGAAAAACAUAUUUAACCCUAAACUUUUUAGUUACUAAGCCCACCAUCCUUUCCAUCACAUUUUUUUACAAUAAAGAACUAGGAAUGGGCAAAUGGAACUGAAUUAGUUCUAAAAUAUGAUUUUAACACUAUCUAAUAACAAAAUAACGGUUAACUAUGCAGGAUUAUAUAAUUUACUGAACUAAGGGAAAUGUAACAAAAGUUAUCUC